rnacentral:tRNA from 1 species
GAAUUUGUAAUUUAACUAAAAUAUUAGUUUUGUAAACUAAUCAUAGACUUAAAAUCUCUAAUUCA